rnacentral:lncRNA from 1 species
AUGAAUUGAGAUAUGAUGCAUAUGAAUGUGAAAUGGUGCGGCGGACGCACAGAUGAGUAUCAGGUGAGUAUUUAAUUACUGUUAUGAUGAUGUUGAUAUAUAUUGAGCUCAAAUCCUGCACCAUGGUUUAGUGCUUAUAGUAUUCACCGCAUCGCACGCUCGCCUUGGAUCCAAGUAGAUGCUAGUCGUACAGUCCACGCGGAGUGGGUACGACAGGCCAGUCGCGAGAGUGUUAGUGAGAUUCCGACUGGUGGGUGACCUUAGAUUAUGUGCACAGAUGAUUGAUGAGAAAGCACUAGAGCGUAACUUGUGUGCAGAAGGCCGGACGGGUCACAGAGGUGACUCCGGUAGAGUGAUAGUGAUAGAUUUUGAGCUCUAGGUUCAACCGUACAGGGCUAUUAGAGGGCCUCCGGUUGAUUACUUUCUUGCACCUGAUAUGAUUAUUGUUGAUGCAUUCAUCCAUAUUUAACUGUUGAAUUAGACAUGGCAUGGCAUGUUUGAUAAAGAAAAAUGUUGAAAUAGUAAAAAUGAAGUUUUGAGAAUAUAUAUGUAUAUUUUAUAUUUUACAUUUCUGGGAAAGUAUACAGGUUUUACGGAGAGGGGUUACAACGUUUUGAGAAAUGUUUGGAUUUGGAAAAGAAUUGUUUUACUGACCCACUCAAUUUUGGUUUUGCGCCCCUCCAGGUUCAAGAAUCACAAAGGUGUGGUGACUACGAGGAAUUCGACGGUGUUCUGACAGAUUGGACAAAAAUUAGGACUCACCUUCGGGUGUAUCAACUUAUAAAUUGUAUCUUAAAGCUUCCGUACUGUGCAAAUGGUUACGUCACUCUCACGUGACGGCCAGCAUGCCCUCCUUCGGGAUGGGGUGUGUCAGUUGGUAUCAGAGCAUGGUUGCAAUCUUGGACAUUUUGAGAAGUUCUAGUGAAUUCUGUCAGAACUACACCGCCUCGUAGCAAACCACGUAGUUAGAGGAACUUAGUCUCCCUGAUUUAGCGGUUUAGGGGGAAACUAUUAUUAUGGUGAUUCAGUAUAUUAUCAAAAUGGACAUUUUAAGAUGGGUAAUGAGUUGAACUUGAAUCACCUAAGAGAAAUGAUGAACCUGAGGGAGCGAAGUAACGGUUUAACCAUUUGGAAAAGAUGUUUCAGAUUAUGCAAGUCAAAGGAAUCUUCCUUCUGACAGGGGGUCGAGACGACUACCUGGUUUUUCGGUAAUGAAUUUGCAUCCUGGUGGAAACAGGAAUGUUAAUUGUUGUCACCAGAGGAAUCAGCCGAUUUAAAAUUUUUUAUGGAAAAGUUUAUCCCUCCGGCAUUUAUUGAUGGUAGUAAACAAGAGUUUACAAAUAUGAGACAAUGAAGGUGAUGAUCGAGGGAUAUUAUAGAAAGUUUUUAGACUUGCCUCGUUCCAUCCAGAUAUUGUUGUUAAUUUGGUGGAGGUGUUAUGUUGUUUUAAGCUGGGUGGCAAAAAGGGAAGUGGUAAUUUGGGUGACCACUAUCCAUUGUAUUUCUUACCAAGAGUAUACAAGAUGUUGUUGAGCCUUGAGGACUCUGAGAAUAUGAUCAGCUAGAGUAAAAGAAGAAUAAAGAAAAGAUUGGGAAUUAAAAAAGAAGACGAUAAAGUUAAUGAUUCGUCAUAUCAAGGAUAUAGAAAGAUUCAGAGCUUCAAAAGAAGUGAAGCUAGAGUUAAUUCUUCCAGCAGAGGUUUUAAUGUCGCUGGUCAGAAUAAAAGUGAUGGAUAUACUGGUAAUCCCAGAUAUUUGAGACAAGGUGUCUCGAGUAAAGGAAAUAUACUUUGUGCAGCAGGUACAAAAUUAACACUUUGGGAAGUGUGAAAUUAAUGAAUGUGUUUAUGUGAACAGAGGGGACACAGAAUUGUGAAUCGUCCAUAGAAUCAGUUGUACUCAACAAUUUUCCAUGAUAUCAUAGUGUCGAUUCAGCAGAGUUAUGGACUUAGUAGUUUGGUCGGAUUGACCGUGAGUAUAGAGAGAUUUGAUGAGUUAUAUGUUCAGCUGUACAGACCAUGAGAAGUGGAUUCGACUGACACAUGAGAAAUUGGUGAGUUAUAGGCUCGGCCGUACCGACCACGCGGAGUGGAUCCGGCCGUAUUAUUGAGAUAAUUGUUGAAUCAGCCGUACGGGUCAUUCUAGUUGACUUCGGCUGAUAUAUUUCUUAUUAUGUAUGUUAUUACCUUGAGAGUAGUAAAUAAAUGUAGUUGAGAUGAGUGUAUGUAUUUUGCAUUGAGUGACAAAAUAGUAAUGUUAUAUCUUUGAGAGUGGUUGCCUACUUAUCGAGACAACGAUGAUUUAUCAGUAUUGCGGGCUGCAGACCGUAAUAUUAAUAACUCAUUCGUGGAUUCGUUAAGCAAGCAAACCGGUAGAUUAUUUUAUGUUAGUAUAAUAAAAUAUAUAUUGUAUCAGUUAAUUCUGUUCCAUUAGAUUGGUUGGUUAUAAUUGUGAUAAGACGGAAUGUUACGGGAAACCAGUACUUUCCAUCGAUCUGGAUGACCAGAGAUUACUUUUGUAAGUAUGCAAAAUGGAUUGAGUCAGGCCGUUAUUAAUGCUGUGAGAGCAAAUAGAUUGUUUUCGAAAGGCUGUCAAAAAUACUUAGCUCAUGUGGUACUAAAGGAUGUUGCUCGGAGAAGUGUGAAAAAUGAAAAAGGGGUUAGACUUUUUUUGAUGUCUUCCUUGAAAGUAUACCUGGAUUGCCUUCAGGCAGAGAUAUGAGGUUCACUAUUGAAUUUGUUGCCAGGUAUAAUAAAUCUUAUGAUAGAGAUUGGUUCAUGAUGAGUUAAGUGAAUUGGAAAUUCAGUUGAAAGAAUUGGUUGAUAAAAAAUUUCAUUCAACCUAGUACAACACUUUUAAGGAGCACCAGUUUGUUGGUGAGAAAGAAAAUGGACUUAGAGAUUGUUCAUUGAUUAUAGACAAUGGAAUUGGUAACGAUCGAGAACCGUUAUCCAUGAUAGUGUACUGAUGUUUAGUUGAUAAGCUCAGAGAUGUUUGUGUAAUUUCAAAGAUUGAUUGAGGUCUGGUUAUUACCAAUUGAAGAUUUUGAGCGACAUUGAUCAUAAGAUGGUUUUCUGGAUUUGUUAUGAUCUUUUAUGAGCUUUGGUGAUGCUAUAAGAAAACUCACGUUGUUUUAGGAGUUUAUGGAUGAAGUAUUCCACGAAUGUCAUGAUAAAUUGUUAUCAUUUGUCAUUGACGAUAUUCUGGUACAUUCUGAGCCAGAGCAGAGCAUGUAAACAUAUUAAGUUGGUGAAGCAAAGAUUGGAAGAAUGUCGAUUGUAUGCAAAGUUUAGCAAAUGCGAAUGUUGGAUGAAUCAGGUGGUAUUCUGAGAUUUGUUAUAUACUCUUAAGGUAUUCAAGUGAAUCCUUAAAAGAUAGCAGAAAUUGAGAAUUUGGAACAACCACGAGUCGUAAUUGAGAUUUGGAAUUUCUUAGCUUACCAGGCUAUCUUGGAUGGUUGUGAAAGAUUUUUUUUAGUCAUUGAUUUGUCAUUGAUGAGACUGUUGAGAAAAGAGAUUAUGUAUGAGUGGGAAGGAAAUUGUGAGCAAAGGAUUCAAUAACUGAAGUAUUUCCUCACUCAUGCACGUAUUUUUUGGUAUUCCCAGAGAAAAUAGUGGUAAUCAUAAAUUUUUAGUGAUGUUUCUUGAAUGGUAUUGGAGGCAUGUUGAUGCAAAUGUUAGGGUGAUUGCAUACGUUUCACGAUAAAUGGAAUCUCAUAAGAUGAAUUACCCUACUGGUGAUUUGGAAGUCACGAUUACCAUUCUUGCUGUGAAGUUAUGGAGACAUUAUAUUUUAGUGGGAAUGCAAGAUUUUUUUUUACGAAUCCAAAAAGUCUUCAAUAUCCAUUACUUGGAAGGAUUUUGAUAUGAGGCAGCGAAAGUGAAUUGUAUUGCUUAAUGAACAUGAUUGUACGAUCAGGGUGAUCGUAAAAUUUGUUCUAGCUGAAGCACUUGGUGAGAAGACUACAGUAAGAUUAAUAUCUGGCACGUUUGCCAAGAGUAUCAUUUUGUGGAUUGAAAACCAACGGAAGAAAAAUUAAGAAUGGAAGAUCGAGAAGAAGUUAUACUUGUUAAGUAACAAGUUAGUACAUUUACUCCAGUGUUGAGUAACAACCUUUCCCAGACAGUGCAACACUACUUAUUUGUUUUAUGGAAAAGAGAAUUGGAUUACGGAACUGCUAAGUUUCUUAAGUAUGUUGGUUGUGCAGUUUCCGAAGUAACGCCAUAAGGACCAUGAAAAUGUGUCACGUGAGUCGGUUUUUGAUGACUUGUGAAUGGAAUGUUUCUGGGUAGAGAAAGAUUCGAUCGAGAAAGAGUUUUAGUAGACCCUGAGACUAUGGAUGAGUCUCCUUAAAGUAUUCAGGUGAUUAAGUUAACCUGAAGUAAUCAGGAAAUGGCAAAAGAGAUCAACAGAUGGAUAUGCCACUAAUCAAGUGUAUAAGACAGAUGGUUUUAUAUUUUCGAAGUUUUCACCUUGGAAAAGUGUGAUUCGGUCUGGAUAGGAAGGCGAGUUAAAUCCUAGGUGAACCGAAUUUUAUGUGAUCAUCGAAGGGUUGGUGAAGUUGAAUACAGAUUUAAAUGGCUUCCAGAGUUGUUGUAAGUACAUGAUGUGUUUCAUGAUUCGAUAUUUUGGAAAAUUCACCACGAGCAGAAAUGGCGAGAAUUGGAAAGGAGACAAGAUAAGAUUUAGACACAUCAGACCAUUUUUGAUCACUAAAGGAAUCAAUAAAGUUGCAUACAAGUGGUGAUGUCUUCAGAGUUGGCUAAGGUACUUAAUGUAUUUUGGGUUCGAUACGUUGUCACUAGGUGGUAGAUUCGUCACAUGAGAUUCUGGUGCAACUAUUGAGAAUUAAACUGGAUUUGAUUGAUAAGGAACUAAGGACGAUUUUGGAUUGGAGAAAGGAAGUCCUAAGAAUUAAAACAGUGUAAGUGGUAAAAGUUGUGUGAAGAAAUUAUUCGGUGGAAGAAAUUACGUGGGAGAAGAGAAUCGGAUGAGAGAGAUUUACCCGAAGCUAUUGUUGGAGUAUGGUUGAUUUAGUUGGUUGCUGGAAUUUCGGGGACGAAAUUCUAUAAGGUGGGUAGAUUGUCACAGCCCGUCCCAAAGUUUUACACUCGUGAUUGUAAAUUGACGGAAUUUCCCUUAAACGUGAUUAAGAUAUGUGAAUCAUAUAUUGGUGAAAUAUAUGUUUCUAAGUUAUUUGGAGAUGGAAUUUUAUGAUUUGGGGUUAGGUAGGACCACACACCUCAAAUCCCUCCCUAUUUCCCGUACCCUGUCUCUCUCUCUCCUCCCUCACAAUCUCUCAUUCUCUGUCUCUCUCCCUCUCCUUCGAACUCACACAGACGAGCUCCAAAACCACCCUAAAUCUAUACCAACGACGGAGUUAAGACCACCAUCGAACUCCUGGAGACUCCACGAUCACGUAGACACCAAUUUCAGGUAAGUUUUACUUCGGAAAACCUAGAUUCUAAACUCCCUGUGAAAGUGCACUGUUCAUGAUCUUCGAAUUGACUUUGUUUUAGGACAAUCCAAGCUCACAGUGAGCUUAGUAAGGUUCCAAGGAAGCUCGGAGUGCUUCGUUGGAAGUUUUUGGACGUAAGAACUCGGAGAUCGACAAGUUCAAAGUUUGGCCGGAGCUUUCGAGGCAUUUUCCGGCGAAUCCCCGGCGAGUUAGGAGUCGAGGUAGGUAUCAAUCUCUUCGUCUCGUCAAGUACUACACAACUUUCCUUUUUGUUUCACUCAAAUUUCGUUGAGUAUUGAAGAAGUUAUACUCAUUUGAAAAAUACCCAGUUUCCGGCGACCUCCGAGGCUUUCGAGGCAGUUUCCGGCCAAACCACGGCGAACUAGGUGUUGUGCAAGGUACCAUUUCUUUGUCUCUUCAAGGGCUACAACUUUCGUUUUUGAAUCACUUGAUUUCGUUGAGAAAUGACAAAGUUAUGACAAUUUGAAAAACUGCCCGGAAAACGGCCGCCGGAAAAACCAGUCCGGCGACCCAAGGAAGAAGAAGGUGCUACAGUUAAAAAAAAAAAAAUUAAAUAAAAUUAUUUUAAAAAUAUGUCGACGUCCGUGACGUCGAGUAGAUCACCGUGGUAUAUUCAUAUACCCAAUUUGAGCACCGUAUGAGAAAGUUAUUAAGGAUUGUUGGUUAGGUGUUCGAAUAACGUUUUAUAGUUUUGGUGAAAAUGUGAAUUGACGAUCCGACCGUUGGAUCGUUACCAAACUUUGAUACGUUGUAAUACGUAAUAUUUGAGGAUUAUUGGAACUUACGGAUUGGGAAUCCGAGUUACGGAUCUUCCGGAAUUGGAAUUGUAAGUUCAUAAAAUAAAAUGUUAACCGUCACUUAGUUUUGGAAAUUGACGGAGAUCCGACCGUUGGAUGGUAAUGAAAUUUUAGGAAGUUGUCCUAGAGGUAUAUUGUGGACCUCUGGAAGUUAUGGAUUUAAAAUCUGAGUGGCAGAUCUUCCGGAUCGAACUACGUAGUGACGUAUUUUAUAUAAGUUAUAUAUUCUAUCACUAUGAAUUCUGAGGUUGGAAUUAAUUAUUGUUUUAGGCGCCGAUCGUCAUGACGCCUUGGCGUAUUGUGCUAGGGAGUUGUAGGGCGAACUCCAGGUGAGUGGGCAGUUUUGUUUUCCGUAUACAUAUAUACUUGCCGUUUCCCAGAAAUUGAAAAUGCAUGAAAUUAUGCUUUUAAUGAAAAAUGUAUAAAAGUAUAUGAGAUAUAUUAGUUGAAAUGCCAUGCAUAAAAGUAUAUGAAAAGUAUAUAGAAAUGUGAAUCGAAUUGCCAUGCAUGAAAUGAUAUGAAAAGUAUGAAUUGAGAUAUGAUGCAUAUGUAUGAAUUGGUGCGGCGGACGCACAGAUGAGUAUCAGGUGAGUAUUUAAUUACUGUUAUGAUGAUGUUGAUAUAUAUUGAGCUCAAAUCCUGCACCAUGGUUUAGUGCUUAUAGUAUUCACCGCAUCGCACGCUCGCCUUGGAUCCAAGUAGAUGCUAGUCGUACAGUCCACGCGGAGUGGGUACGACAGGCCAGUCGCGAGAGUGUUAGUGAGAUUCCGACUGGUGGGUGACCUUAGAUUAUGUGCACAGAUGAUUGAUUGAUGAGAAAGCACUAGAGCGUAACUUGUGUGCAGAAGGCCGGACGGGUCACAGAGGUGACUCCGGUAGAGUGAUAGUGAUAGAUUUUGAGCUCUAGGUUCAACCGUACAGGGCUAUUAGAGGGCCUCCGGUUGAUUACUUUUUUUGCACCUGAUAUGAUUAUGUGUUGAUGCAUCCAUAUUUAACUGUUGAAUUAGACAUGGCAUGGCAUGUUUGAUAAAGAAAAAUGUUGAAAUAGUAAAAAUGAAGUUUUGAGAAUAUAUAUGUAUAUUUAUAUUUUACAUUUCUGGGAAAGUAUACAGGUUUUACGGAGAGGGGUUACAACGUUUUGAGAAAUGUUUGGAUUUGGAAAAGAAUUGUUUUACUGACCCACUCAAUUUUGGUUUUGCGCCCCUCCAGGUUCAAGAAUCACAAAGGUGUGGUGACUACGAGGAAUUCGACGGUGUUCUGACAGAUUGGACAAAAAUUAGGACUCAC